UACGGGGGGGGCGAGCGUUGUUCGGAAUCACUGGGCGUAAAGGGUGCGUAGGCGGCUUUCUAAGUCGGGGGUGAAUCCUGGAGCUCAACUCCAGAACUGCCUUCGAUACUGGAGAGCUCGAGUCCGGGAGAGGUGAGUGGAACUGCGAGUGUAGAGGUGAAAUUCGUAGAUAUUCGCAAGAACACCAGUGGCGAAGGCGGCUCACUGGCCCGGUACUGACGCUGAGGUGCGAAAGCGUGGGGGAGCAAACAGGG
rnacentral:rRNA from 1 species